UACGGAAAACUGAAGCUUACCGGCGGCGGUGCUCUCAGGUGCGGCGGCUCUCCGGUGAAGUUCGUGUUUUGGUGAUUCGGCUCCGAUCAACCUGUAGAGAAAAGAAUGGUGAUCACGGUGGUAUAAAAAUUGCAUUAAACAGAGGCAGGGAAGGGCCUCAUCGGAGGCAAAAACCGAGAAGGGGCGCGGCGGCGCCGCUGGCUUUCGGCCCUGUUUUCCGGCCGUUU
rnacentral:lncRNA from 1 species